GUGCUCACUCCUGCCACACAAAUACUAAAACUGGAACAGUAUAAAGAAGAUGACAUGGUCCUUGUGCAAGAACGACUCACACAUUUUCAAAGUGUUCUAUACUUCU